rfam:Ailuropoda melanoleuca scaffold844_16, whole genome shotgun sequence.
GCCUGGCUGGCUCAUUUGGAAGAGCAUGCGGCUCUUGAUCUCGGGGUUGUGAGUUCAAGCCCCAUGUUAGGUG